rnacentral:rRNA from 1 species
UACGUAGGGUGCAAGCGUUGUCCGGAAUUAUUGGGCGUAAAGAGCUUGUAGGCGGUUUGUCGCGUCUGCUGUGAAAUUUCGGGGCUCAACCCCCGAACUUGCAGUGGGUACGGGCAGACUAGAGGUGUGGGUAAGGGGAGACUGGAAUUCCUGGUGUAGCGGUGAAAUGCGCAGAUAUCAGGAGGAACACCGAUGGCGAAGGCAGGUCUCUGGGCCACUAACUGACGCUGAGAAGCGAAAGCAUGGGAGCGAACAGG